rnacentral:lncRNA from 10 species
UUCCACCCCACCACGCUGGCCCCUCCCCAUCGCCUUUCCCACUACCGCCCGCUCUUGCUUCCUCCCCCACCCAGCCUAGAUUCCAGGACCCACCACUGUCCGCACUCUCCCAGCUACUUUGUCCCUCUCUUUUAAAAAUAUUCAUCAGAUGAUGUCACUGUCCUGAUCUGGUGACACAGCCUUCCACUGGUGUCCUGUGUCAUUUGGAAGAAACACUUAAAGUUGCUUCAGUGGCCUGCAAGCCAGGUGAAUCUGGCUUCUGUGAUUUGGGGACUUCCUAAGAAAAUAACAUACGAGGUCUCACAUGGGGGCCGUGCGCUCAUAGACAGCUUCACGGUCAACCCCCUUUGCCUUUGGGGCUCUCGGCAGUCUGGCUCCCUCUCCUAGUAUACUCCCUCUCUCCCCUGCAGCCCCACUGGCUUCCUGGCCAUCCCUCCACACAGGCGCAUGCCUCCCCGACCCCACCCCUGCACCACACCUUUGCAGGUCUACUGCAUGGAAUGCUCUUCCCUGCACAAUUGCAGGCCUCCCUCCCUCCCUCCCUCCCUGCCUGCCUGCCUACCUGCCUCGGAGCUGUGCACAUAUGGCACCUUUCCAAGGCCAUCCAGGAGCAGAACGCAGGGGGCCUGGGUGCAGGGGCCUGGGUGCAGGGGGCCUGUGCAGAGGUAGAGGACUCAGGUGGAGGUGGAAGGCAGCCCAGGUUGGGUAGGAAGGGGCUCCAGGAAGGGGCUGGCCUGGUGGGGAGAGAAAGCAGGCGGCAGGCUUCUCUGCGACCUAAGUGCUUGAUUCUCAGCAGGAGCACAAAAGGCAAGGGCUAGAACUCACACUGCACCAGGCCCUGGGCAGGGAAGUCCAUGGGGAACUGAAGAUCUGCACCUAGCCUCCUCUGAGCCUGCUGUCCACACCCCCACAGCCCCAGCUUCCAGCUGUUCCAAUGACCGGAGAAGCAGAAGUUUCUGUAAGCCCUCAAGUCUCCCCUGGUCCCCUUGGGGCUUUCAGGGAGAUAAUAGGAUACACUUCUGGUCCUGGAGGCGAUUCCCAAGCAUUUGCUUUAACUCUCAAUAUCACCUCCUCCCCAGACAGGGCUCCCAGAGCCAGGAUGGAGGCAGGUGGUCCAGGGAGACUCCUGCCCCGCUGCUCUCUCCCACCAGCCCCAAAGCAGAGGCUGCCCAGGGCCUGGGCGAGAGGAGAGCCUGGGGAGAGGCGGGCUGUCUGCCGGGGCUCUCACCCUUCCUGACUUGUCAGUUCUCUUGCCUUUGAGGCGGAUGGAGCCCUCCUUCCCAGAGCAGUCCUGGCAGGGGAGGCGCCCACAGGAAGGAAUGGAAACAGAGUCCAUCCCUGGGGAUCCCAAGUCAUCCCCUGGGGCCACAUGGACACCCAUGCUGCCCAGCCUGGCAGCCAGUCCAGGGCCAGGGAACAUAAACCCUUGAAGGAGAGGGGGAGGAAUUAGAGGGAGCAAAGACAGGGUCGGGAGAUGUGAUGAAAGAACCCAAGAGAAGCUCCAACCCCACUGCUCCCCUCCCCAGCACAGAAAUCUUUAAGUGUCAUGCCUGAAACCCAGGCCGCCUUCUCUAGGUGCUGCUCUUGCUCCUCCCCCAUCCAGCCUAGAUUCCACAUCCCCCCAGAGGCUGAGCUGAAGGCG